rnacentral:rRNA from 1 species
UGCCAGCCGCCGCGGUAAUACGGAGGGUGCGAGCGUUGUUCGGAUUUAUUGGGCGUAAAGCGCGCGCAGGCGGAUUUGGAAGUCAGAUGUGAAAUCUCGGGGCUCAACCUCGAAACUGCGUCUGAAACUCCUAAUCUAGAAUCACAAAGAGGGUAGGGGAAUUUCACGUGUAGGGGUAAAAUCCGUAGGGAUGUGAAGGAACACCGGAGGCGAAGGCGCCUGCCUGGUUGUGUAUCGACGCUGAGGCGCGAAAGCGUGGGGAGCAAACAGGAUUAGAUA